CCACUCCCCCUGCUUGUGUUCCCUCUCUCACUGGCUGUCUCUAUCUCUGUCAAAUAAAUAAAUAAAAUCUUAAAAAAAAAAAAAAGAAAGAAAGAAAGCACCAGGAAAGGAUGCUUGAGUUCUAGGCGCUUACUGUGCCAUUUAUAGCCAGGACUCAAUUGUCUGAAUUGGUAAAGAUGACAUGGACAAUAGAGAUUACAGACCCUACAGUUACUAAAUCUCACUUUAGCAAAUAGAUUUGGUCAAAAGCAUGUGUUCAAACAAAUGCUUGUCUUCUUGUUCACAGUAACACCAAUCCAAUAGCCAAAAGAUGGAAGGAGCUAAAUGCCCAUCGACGGAUGAAUGGAUAAAUGAAAUGUGGUGUAGUCAUCUGACGGGACAGUAUUCCGCCAUCCACAACAUGGAUGAACCUGGAAAGCACGCUGAGUGAAAGAAGCCAGAUCCCAAAGACCACGUAUGUCACAGGAACUGCUAAUGCUAGAGAGCUUCCUUGCCGUUAUGGACUGAACGUUUGUCUGAAGGAAGGCAGCUGUCCGCAAGCCAAGCAAGAAACAGGUUCUCAUUAGGAACUAAAUGUGCCUGCACCUUGAUCUUGGACUUCCCAGCCUCCGGAACGGUGAGAAACACAUGUGUGUCGUUGAAGCUGCUGGGUCCGUGGUAUUUUGUUAUGGCAGGCCCACGCUUAGAGACUUGCCUGCAGGCGUCCUUGAAGGAAAUGCUAACGCUCAGUUAGAGGUGAAUGAAAGGAUGUAAUUUUUUCCUUUCUAAGUUCAUGGACUCCCUGGAUUCUCCGCAAAGCUCUCUUGGAUGUCUGUGGACCCUAGUCGAUCGAAGGGAGGGGGGUCUCUCGAACAAGAAUGGAAGACAUAGUGGGGUGGCAAUCAAUGAACCAGAUAAACCACCGAAUAUCUGCUUUGGAAAGGUAAUUUACCAUUGCCUCCUUCAUCUUCUCCGCCCGGCCUCAAUUCCACGGUCCAUACCAGCAGGUUACUCAAAAGGGCUUAGCAACAGUCAGUUGGACAACAGUUGGAGCAGGGAAAAAAAAAAAAAAAAAAAAGACCAGCUUAUAGGUGUCACCUUACAUCUUGGGCGCCAAUAAAAUCCUUGUGUAAUAUGAGUCACA